AACAAACCACCUUUACUUUCUGCAGCAGCGAGCGGGGAGGAGUCGGGCCAUUCACUCUUUGUCUUAGCCCGCCGUUCGGUUUCUACCUGCUCAGGAGGAGGUGGGCUGUGCAACUCCCACACUGCACGCACACACCCCACCCCAUUCUAUGGGUGUGUCGAGAGGCUGACGCUAAAAUGUCACCCAGGAAUACAAACUAACCCUGUGGGAUUCCAGCUCCAAAAUUCUGGCUACUCUUCUGCUCAGGCGACUCCCUCUUCCCCCCCCCCCCUGUCUCCCCCGCCCCGUGUGAGCCAAGGCUCGCUCCUCGCUUUGAUAUUUCCCUUAAAGGGACCCUUCUUUCAAGGCCAAGAUCAUUUCAUGUGAAUAUGUUCUCAUUGCAGCCCAUCAGUCCACUGUCAUGUAAUUUUAAAAUCAGAAUGCUUAAUGGGUGGUACCCCCACCCGCAUCCUCCAAGUGUUUGUGGGUGGGAUAUGGAGUCGUGUGGACGUUGUGUCACGCAGAGUACAUACAAAAAUGUACGUGCGAGUAAAGGGGUGUUUGUUGGUUCGUAGGUAUCGAUUCCUUCACUCGCCCGCGAACUGCAGAACGGUAGCUAGUGAACUGUGGUCACCGCUACAUAGUCGUGCGGGCCUGGAAAUUCUGUUCUGCUUCCAGUACAGAGCAGUGCGAGGUGUCGUGUUUAGCGUCAGACUCGGCCAGUCCUCACGGGGUGGGUCACCUUCGGGCAUUUGCGCGCGCCCUCAGCCUAAACUACCUCCUAGGCUCUUUGUUAGACGAAAAGGGGAUUCUGACUACAGUAUAUUGCCCUCAGCUCCUUGGAGCUCUUGGCAGGGUCGAAGCGUGAAGUAGGCGGGCGGGGCUCCUCCCUGUCCUCGCUGUAGUAGCCACCGCGGCUGCUGCACGUGUGGGGUGGAGAAGAUAGUGUGUGUGCUGCUGAGCCCUACUGCAUUUGACCCCUGUAGCUCCGUGGUCCACUUCGUCGCCUGCAAACUACGACAAAGCGGGCAUCGAGGCAAGGGCGCUGUUGCCUCUUGCUCCGAUCCCAACCGUGCAUGGAAUCUGUUGUACCACUACGACUUACAGAAACCAGGUUCGACGCAAACUUAACGCUUGCUGUUUGCUGAUAUGCUCGUAUCUUUCAAAUAGCUUUUAGCAGCACUGGAGGAAGCAGCUUGGCUUGCUGGAUUGCAGAGCAGAAAUCAUUAUUUAAGGAAAACUGGAAAUUGAUCAAAGGAGCCUGAAUAUCCAUUAUUUAUUCUAUUGAACUCCAUCCUGCCCAGUCCUGAGAGUUCAGGAUCUCGUAACAGGUGAUACUGAAUGCAAUCUAGAGAAUCCAGACAUGGUUAAGAUCUACUGAAAUCAGUGGGUCUCUUGUACUGAGUACAGGAACAAGAAAAGAAACGGGGUCCACGGAAUGGCAAAACAAGACAAUAAAAAGAAACCCGUGGUUUCAUUGCAUUCAUAUGUUUGCAGUGAAGACUGGAGCUAAAUCAACCACCAUUAGAAAAAAAAAAUUCCACUGAAGGACAAGAGAACACAACAGAAACAUGGUGCGGGGGAGAGGACCAAUAACAUCCUAUCUACUGCAGUGUGAAGUAGUGAUGCAAUUCUACUUGCAAAGCGGCAAUUCUUAGUAGAAAAGCAGCGACAGAGUAGCACUACAAGAAAUCCCAUGAUUAUUUUGCUGAAGCAGACAAUGACCUUCUCAAAGGAACCCUAUCACAUUCUCAAGAUAAAUAAUGAGAGGCCCUCUCUUUCCCGCCUCAAGGAAAUAUUGCAUUGAUAUGAAGUGCUUGUGAAAUUAUCGAUCUGUUCAUCAUUUUUAUUAGAAAACAAUAUACACUUAGCAGAAAGUAAUCUACAUAGGGAGUUGUACUUAACAAAAGACUGACAAGAGAACAACUCUCCCUAAUUGCAAUUCUAGUUGCAGAAGGAUUUUUAAAAACACACACGCAUUGAGGAAGGAGUGGAAUGGAGAACACAUUGUAAGUAAAUUGCAUGAGAGAAAAGGACAACUCAUUAACAUGUGCUGCGAAUGGAUCCAACCUGUGGGCCUGGAGAAAAUGGCUAUUGAUGAAAUGAACAGCUAGCUGUGAAGCUGAUAUCUACAAUUGCUUGUGCUUUGUGUCUUUGAAUAAUGUGAAAGGGAAAAGGUAUCAAGUGAAUGAAUCUUACAUCUUUAAAACAAAAUUGCCAUAAUAGCUCUGAUGACUGAUAGGCUUUAAAGAGAAAAUAAGUUCAGCUAAGGUAAUUAACAGAUAUGACUAGAAUUCUCUUAAAGAUUCUCCACAAUAAAAUAUCAGUGUGCACUACAGGUGGCCCUUGUUACCCACGAGGUUUGGUUCUUGCCAACAACCAUGGAUAAUGAAACUACGGAUAACAAGACCUCAAGUCAAUCGGAAUUGCUGGGUUAGGGUCCUGGAGAUUAAAGAGAGGCUAAAAAAAUUGGGAAGAAGGCAGAAAUAAGAGCAAUAAAGUUCCGUAUCAUGCUCUUCAGUUGUCCAGCAAUGCCCCCCACACCCCUGCCGAUUUUCCGUAAAAAAUCAUGGGAAUUUUUUUUUUUAAGGCCACAAAAUGGUUUUGUUCAGCAAAAUGGUGGCUGGAAAUGACAUCAGAAGUCAUUUCUGGACACCUAGGAAGUGUGGAUAGGCACACUAUUUUUUAGAACUGCAGAUAAUGAGAUUGGGUCUUUGCUCAAUAGAGAAUACGUGAAACUGCAGGUAGGAACAUACAUAGGAAGCUGCCAUAUACUGAGUCAGACCAUAGGUCCAUCUAGCUCAGUAUUGUCUACACAGACUGUAGACAGCGGCUUCUCCAAGGGCGCAGGCAGGAAUCUCAGCCCUAUCUUGGAGAAGCCAGAGAGGGAACUUGGAACCUUCUGCUCUUCCCAGAGUGGUUCCAUCCCCUGAGGGGAAUAUAUUGCAGGGCUCACACUUCUAGUCUCCCAUUCACAUGCAACCAGGUCAGACCCUGCUUAGCUAAGGGGACAAGUCAUGCUUGCUACCACAAGACCAGCUCUCCUCUUCAGGGUGAAGAGCACAACAAGCACUGUCGCUUGCUUGUUUGCAGAAUCCCAUUCUUCUUGUUUCUUUCCAUUCUCUGUUGGCCUCUGUUCCUCCAGAACAUAAGAUAGUCCCAGUGUAUUCAGCAACAUCUUGACUCCGAAGGACCAUUUUAUGUAGUUCUGCCAGUUCACCAGUGGGGGGGGUCUAGACUUAAGAGUUGGGGAGGGUGCACUUACCCUUCCUGCCGCCCCCCCCCAGCCUCUGUUUUUUGAAAAGCCCACCAGGGCGGGGCGACAGAGUCUCUCUCUGCUGCCCUGUUGCCCCCAUUUUCUGGAUAUGACCAGAAGUCUUGGACACACCUGUGCACGC